rnacentral:rRNA from 1 species
AACGAACGCUGGCGGCAGGCCUAACACAUGCAAGUCGAGCGGACCUUUCGGGGUCAGCGGCGGACGGGUGAGUAACGCGUGGGAAUAUGCCCUUCUCUACGGAAUAGUCCUGGGAAACUGGGGGUAAUACCGUAUACGCCCUUUGGGGGAAAGAUUUAUCGGGGAAGGAUUAGCCCGCGUUGGAUUAGGUAGUUGGUGGGGUAAUGGCCUACCAAGCCGACGAUCCAUAGCUGGUUUGAGAGGAUGAUCAGCCACACUGGGACUGAGACACGGCCCAGACUCCUACGGGAGGCAGCAGUGGGGAAUCUUAGACAAUGGGGGCAACCCUGAUCUAGCCAGGCCGCGUGAGUGAUGAAGGCCUUAGGGUUGUAAAGCUCUUUCAGCUGGGAAGAUAAUGACGGUACCAGCAGAAGAAGCCCCGGCUAACUCCGU